UCGGUGGCGGCGGUUCACUGUCUUUCCCGCACCGGUUACAGAAAUGCGGGGAUCUCUGUGGCUGUGUCUCUGCGCGCUGCCGCUGUUCCCAGGUUCGGUGGCGGGGAACUCGCUGACCCAGAUCCCGCCUUCCCUGACAGCCCCGGAAGGGCAGCGGGUGGAGAUCAGGUGUCAAUACAGCACCUCCUACACCAGCUACGCCCUGGACUGGUACCAGGAGCUGCCGGGAAAACAACCCCUGUUCCUGCUGGGCAGAUACUCCAGUGGCUCGGAGCGCAAACCCAGUUCGGUGGCACCUCGGUUCUCUUCGCAGCUGGAGACGGGAGCGAAGUCAUUCAAGCUAACCAUAGAGGGGGCGCAGCGGGCUGACUCGGCGGUGUAUUUCUGUGCUCUCUGGGACGCACCUCCCAGCACCCCUGAGCCUGAGGCCCGGUAUUUCCGUGCAGGAGAUUGGGAAUCCGGCCUGAGCUGA